UUCUAACAUCUCCGAGGCUUCAGGUGUGUGAGCGGAAGGGGACUGUAGGGACCCCUAUCCUAUUUUACAGCUGGAGAGAUUCUAUACACUCAUCACCAGGAGUCAAGUUCUAGAAGAAGAAAAUGGAAAAGAGAAGCGGGUUUUUGACUGGCGUUUUGCAAACCUCCCCAGAGUACAAGAACUCCUCCUUCUCAGCAGGAUGCCGUGGUAGACAGUUUCCAAAAUGGCAGCCCUCAACCAUUUUCCUGCUGGUGUUGGUAUGCUGCUUCUCACCUCUUGAAUCUGGGUGGCCCAUAGAGACUUGCUUGACUGAAAGAAUAUGGUGGGAGUGACAUCCUGGACUGUUAAGACUUGGUCAUGAGAACCUUGUGAUCUCUGUCUACGUGUCUUAGAACCUUCACUCCUGACACACUUCCUCUAGAAACCAGUCACCAUCCUGUAAGAAGUCCAGGCUACACAGAAAGGCCAGAGGUAGGUGCUCUUGUCAAGAACCCUAGCUGAGCUCUCCACCAGCAUUCACAUCACUGCCAGCUUGUGAGUGAGGAUCGCGUGGCUGUCUAGCUCAGUAGAGCCUUCAGAUGACUCUAACAGGAGCCACCAUUUGACUAACUGCAAGAGAUUCUGAGUGAGAGCCAGCCAGCUGAGCUCAAUCAGCAGGGGUGUAAGGGAUAGUAAUAAAUUAUUUUAAGUUGCUGAGUUUGAGGGUAGUCUGUUCCUUAGCGAUUGGUAAUUGAAUGGGGAUAAAAUGCUGAAGAGUGAAAAAGCUGGUUUAAAACUCAACGUUUAA